rnacentral:rRNA from 1 species
GACGAACGCUGGCGGCGUGCCUAACACAUGCAAGUCGAGCGGAGUUAGUAGCAAUACUAACUUAGCGGCGGACGGGUGAGUAACGCGUGAGUAACCUGCCGAGAACAGGGGGAUAACACAGGGAAACUUGUGCUAAUACCGCAUAACAUAUUAAGAUGGCAUCAUUUUAAUAUCAAAGGAGUAAUCCGGUUUUUGAUGGACUCGCGUCUGAUUAGCUAGUAGGUGAGGUAAUGGCUCACCUAGGCGACGAUCAGUAGCCGAACUGAGAGGUUGAUCGGCCACAUUGGGACUGAGACACGGCCCAGACUCCUACGGGAGGCAGCAGUGGGGAAUAUUGCGCAAUGGGGGAAACCCUGACGCAGCAACGCCGCGUGAAGGAUGAAGGCUUUCGGGUUGUAAACUUCUUUGAGGGGGGACGAAGGAAGUGACGGUACCCCAAAAACAAGCCACGGCUAACUACGUGCCAGCCGCCGCGGUAAAAC